rnacentral:rRNA from 1 species
CCUACGGGAGGCAGCAGUGGGGGAUAUUGCACAAUGGGGGGAACCCUGAUGCAGCGACGCCGCGUGGGUGAAGAAGCGCCUCGGCGCGUAAAGCCCUGUCAGCAGGGAAGAAAAUGACGGUACCUGAAGAAGAAGCCCCGGCUAACUACGUGCCAGCAGCCGCGGUAAUACGUAGGGGGCAAGCGUUAUCCGGAUUUACUGGGUGUAAAGGGGGCGCAGACGGCGAUGCAAGCCAGGAGUGAAAGCCCGGGGGCCAACCCCGGGACUGCGCUUGGAACUGCGUGGCUGGAGUGCAGGAGGGGCAGGCGGAAUGCGUGGUGUAGCGGUGAAAUGCGUAGAUAUCAGGAGGAACACCGGUGGCGAAGGCGGCCUGCUGGACUGCAACUGACGUUGAGGCCCGAAAGCGUGGGGAGCAAACAGGAUUAGAUACCCGAGUAGUC